UGGGGAAUAUUGGACAAUGGGGGCAACCCUGAUCCAGCAAUGCCGCGUGAGUGAUGAAGGCCUUCGGGUUGUAAAGCUCUUUUGUCCGGAAAGAAAAGCUUCGGGUUAAUAACCCGGGGUCAUGACGGUAGCGGAAGAAUAAGCACCGGCUAACUUCGUGCCAGCAGCCGCGGUAAUACGAAGGGUGCAAGCGUUACUCGGAAUUACUGGGCGUAAAGCGUGCGUAGGGGGUUUGUUAAGUCUGAUGGGAAAGCCCUGGGCUCAACCUGGGAACGGCAUUGGAUACUGGCUUACUAGAGUGCGGUAGAGGGGUGUGGAAUUCCCGGUGUAGCAGUGAAAUGCGUAGAUAUCGGGAGGAACAUCUGUGGCGAAGGCGACACCCUGGACCAGCACUGACACUGAGGCACGAAAGCGUGGGGAGCAAA
rnacentral:rRNA from 1 species